UCACAUAACCAGACAGGCAACAUGAAAGGGAUAUUGAGCACUCUGUUGGGACUUUUGUCCGUCCAGAUUUGCUGUGUAAGAGGAAAUCAGGUUGAGCAGAGUCCUCCAGCCUUGCUUCUCCAGGAGGGAGUGAACUCCACGCUGCAGUGCAACUUUUCUAAUACAGUAACCAGUGUGCAGUGGUUUCAGCAACAUCCAAGAGGAGGCCUCAUCGGCCUGUUUUACCUUGCUUCAGGAACAAAGCACAAUGGGAGACUCGUAGCCACGAUAGACACCAGGGAACGCCGCAGCUUGCUGUACAUCUCCUCUGCCCAGAAUACAGACUCUGCCACUUACUUCUGUGCUGUGAGAGACACAGUACUCCCUAGGCACCUGCAGCCUCUACACAAACCCUCAGCCUGGUGUAGUCCCUUUAAAUAGUUUCUUGUCUCUUUCCUGCAUUGGCAGUUUCACCCACAGUUGCUCCAUGGGUUUGGUCUUUUCUUCCCUUCUCAGUCUAUACCUCAUCAUUCACUACAAAUAACUUACUUGGAAUGAGCCAAGUGGCUGAUACAAGAUGGUAUCAAAAUAAAUUAACUGCAGUGUGUUGGAUCCCCAAAGGACAAAAUGUAAGAGCAAUAAAAAGAAGAAAAAAAAAGUUGGGAUAGAGAUGUUAUUGACAGCAGUGCAGCUUAGUUUAGUGUUUCCAGAACAUUCAGGCAUUUUCACUCUAAGUCAGCUUAGGCCUUCACAGGCCUAAGCUCCGCAGAUGAGGCACCUCCCACCUUCAACCACAGGUAACACCUCCAGCCCCCAACUGUAUAUAAAGGGUCCUCCAAGGAGCCAGAUGACGCCCUCUUCUCCCUUCCCUCGAGACAACUUAGCCUUGUCUGCUCUAU